rnacentral:rRNA from 1 species
UUGAAAGGGAAACGAUUGAAGUCAGUCAUGCUGNNGGGAAUCAACUUAGGGGAAACUUUGGGUGCACUUCUUCGCUUGGCAGGUCAACGUCGAUUUUGAAUGUCAUAAAAUAAUUGGGGGAAGGUAGCUCCUUCGGGAGUGUUAUAGCCCUUGAUAGAUGUGAUGUUUGAGGUCGAGGAUUGCAACAGAUACCCUUUGGGGCUAGCUGCCUGAUCUCUAAUUGGUGUUGGGUUACGGAUAGCAUACUGACCGUGAUCUAAUUACUGGUUAAAAGGUUAGAGUAUGCAUAAAUUCGUUAAGGAUGUUGACGUA